AUUGAACGCUGGCGGCAGGCCUAACACAUGCAAGUCGAACGGUAGCACAGAGAGCUUGCUCUCGGGUGACGAGUGGCGGACGGGUGAGUAAUGUCUGGGAAACUGCCUGAUGGAGGGGGAUAACUACUAGAAACGGUAGCUAAUACCGCAUAACGUCGCAAGACCAAAGAGGGGGACCUUCGGGCCUCUUGCCAUCAGAUGUGCCCAGAUGGGAUUAGCUAGUAGGUGGGGUAACGGCUCACCUAGGCGACGAUCCCUAGCUGGUCUGAGAGGAUGACCAGCCACACUGGAACUGAGACACGGUCCAGACUCCUACGGGAGGCAGCAGUGGGGAAUAUUGCACAAUGGGCGCAAGCCUGAUGCAGCCAUGCCGCGUGUAUGAAGAAGGCCUUCGGGUUGUAAAGUACUUUCAGCGGGGAGGAAGGUGCUGAGGUUAAUAACCUCAGAAAUUGACGUUACCCGCAGAAGAAGCACCGGCUAACUCCGUG
rnacentral:rRNA from 1 species